CCUACGGGAGGCAGCAGUAGGGAAUAUUGGGCAAUGGGCGCGAGCCUGACCCAGCCAUGCCGCGUGCCGGAUGAAGGCCUUCUGGGUUGUAAACGGCUUUUCUCAGGGAAGAAAAAGGUGAUGCGUCACAAACUGACGGUACCUGAGGAAUAAGCACCGGCUAACUCCGUGCCAGCAGCCGCGGUAAUACGGAGGGUGCAAGCGUUGUCCGGAUUUAUUGGGUUUAAAGGGUGCGUAGGUGGCCCGUUAAGUCCGGGGUGAAAGCCCACAGCUCAACUGUGGAACUGCCCUGGAUACUGGCGGGCUUGAGUCCAGACGAGGUUGGCGGAAUGGAAGAUGUAGCGGUGAAAUGCAUAGAUAUCUUCCAGAACCCCGAUUGCGUAGGCAGCUGACUAGGCUGGUACUGACACUGAGGCACGAAAGCGUGGGGAGCGAACAGGAUUAGAUACCCUGGUAGUCCACGCCGUAAACGAUGGAUACUCGCUGGUGGCGAUAGACAGUCACUGGCUUAGCGAAAGCGGUAAGCAUCCCACCUGGGGAGUACGCUCGCAAGAGUGAAACUCAAAGGAAUUGACGGCGNGAGAGNGCGAGACGACGACGAGGGAGGAGG
rnacentral:rRNA from 1 species